rnacentral:snRNA from 1 species
ACAUCCUCUCUGUUUGGCUAAGAUCAAGUGCAGCGUCUAUACUUAUCAGUUUAAUAUCUGAUAUAUCUUUUUUUGGGGACAAUAUCCUGUAAUACUU